rnacentral:lncRNA from 1 species
AAAAAUGGCCAAGGCUUUACCAUACGAAAAAUCGGCCGAUUUUUAACCAUGUGAGAAACGUCCCGAAAAUUCACAGAUAACUACUAGGAGGCCUCACUCUGAGUAAUAUCAAAGUUUUUUCCCACAAGAACCGCUCGGAGAUGCCCGGACUCAGUUUUUAUUUUCGUCCCAAUACUUUUCUUCCAAUGGACUAGUUGUGUUUCUUUGAUCUUGUGCAACCUCUUUAGGCCGAUGAUAGCCCGCGGAUAGGUGUGGAAACCCAUCUAUAUUGCACCCAGUACGACACAGAAAAAAAGCCCAGGGCCUAGGGGUCGGGUGGGGCUCGUUCGGGGUGCACAACGGUUGCGCCAAAAACGGUCCAAAAAUGGCCAAGGCUUUACCAUACGAAAAAUCGGCCGAUUUUUAACCAUGUGAGAAACGUCCCGAAAAUUCACAGAUAACUACUAGGAGGCCUCACUCUGAGUAAUAUCAAAGUUUUUUCCCACAAGAACCGCUCGGAGAUGCCCGGACUCAGUUUUUAUUUUCGUCCCAAUACUUUUCUUCCAAUGGACUAGUUGUGUUUCUUUGAUCUUGUGCAACCUCUUUAGGCCGAUGAUAGCCCGCGGAUAGGUGUGGAAACCCAUCUAUAUUGCACCCAGUACGACACAGAAAAAAAGCCCAGGGCCUAGGGGUCGGGUGGGGCUCGUUCGGGGUGCACAACGGUUGCGCCAAAAACGGUCCAAAAAUGGCCAAGGCUUUACCAUACGAAAAAUCGGCCGAUUUUUAACCAUGUGAGAAACGUCCCGAAAAUUCACAGAUAACUACUAGGAGGCCUCACUCUGAGUAAUAUCAAAGUUUUUUCCCACAAGAACCGCUCGG